rnacentral:rRNA from 1 species
UACGAACUGUGCAAACGUUAUUCGGAUUCACUGGCUUAAAGGGUGCGUAGGCGGCCAUGUAAGUAGGGUGUGAAAUCCCCCGGCUUAACCGGGGAACUGCGCCCUAAACUGUGUGGCUUGAGUGAGAUAGGGGUGUGUGGAACUUCCGGUGGAGCGGUGAAAUGUGUUGAUAUCGGAAGGAACGCCGGUGGCGAAAGCGACACACUGGGUCUCAACUGACGCUGAGGCACGAAAGCCAGGGGAGCGAACGGGG